rnacentral:rRNA from 1 species
GGUUAAGCGACUAAGCGUACACGGUGGAUGCCCUGGCAGUCAGAGGCGAUGAAGGACGUGCUAAUCUGCGAUAAGCGUCGGUAAGGUGAUAUGAACCGUUAUAACCGGCGAUUUCCGAAUGGGGAAACCCAGUGUGAUUCGUCACACUAUCAUUAACUGAAUCCAUAGGUUAAUGAGGCGAACCGGGGGAACUGAAACAUCUAAGUACCCCGAGGAAAAGAAAUCAACCGAGAUUCCCCCAGUAGCGGCGAGCGAACGGGGAGCAGCCCAGAGCCUGAAUCAGUGUGUGUGUUAGUGGAAGCGUCUGGAAAGGCGUGCGAUACAGGGUGACAGCCCCGUACACAAAAAUGCACAUACUGUGAGCUCGAUGAGUAGGGCGGGACACGUGGUAUCCUGUCUGAAUAUGGGGGGACCAUCCUCCAAGGCUAAAUACUCCUGACUGACCGAUAGUGAACCAGUACCGUGAGGGAAAGGCGAAAAGAACCCCGGCGAGGGGAGUGAAAAAGAACCUGAAACCGUGUACGUACAAGCAGUGGGAGCACGCUUAGGCGUGUGACUGCGUACCUUUUGUAUAAUGGGUCAGCGACUUAUAUUCUGUAGCAAGGUUAACCGAAUAGGGGAGCCGAAGGGAAACCGAGUCUUAACUGGGCGUUAAGUUGCAGGGUAUAGACCCGAAACCCGGUGAUCUAGCCAUGGGCAGGUUGAAGGUUGGGUAACACUAACUGGAGGACCGAACCGACUAAUGUUGAAAAAUUAGCGGAUGACUUGUGGCUGGGGGUGAAAGGCCAAUCAAACCGGGAGAUAGCUGGUUCUCCCCGAAAGCUAUUUAGGUAGCGCCUCGUGAAUUCAUCUCCGGGGGUAGAGCACUGUUUCGGCAAGGGGGUCAUCCCGACUUACCAACCCGAUGCAAACUGCGAAUACCGGAGAAUGUUAUCACGGGAGACACACGGCGGGUGCUAACGUCCGUCGUGAAGAGGGAAACAACCCAGACCGCCAGCUAAGGUCCCAAAGUCAUGGUUAAGUGGGAAACGAUGUGGGAAGGCCCAGACAGCCAGGAUGUUGGCUUAGAAGCAGCCAUCAUUUAAAGAAAGCGUAAUAGCUCACUGGUCGAGUCGGCCUGCGCGGAAGAUGUAACGGGGCUAAACCAUGCACCGAAGCUGCGGCAGCGACGCUUAUGCGUUGUUGGGUAGGGGAGCGUUCUGUAAGCCUGUGAAGGUGUGCUGUGAGGUAUGCUGGAGGUAUCAGAAGUGCGAAUGCUGACAUAAGUAACGAUAAAGCGGGUGAAAAGCCCGCUCGCCGGAAGACCAAGGGUUCCUGUCCAACGUUAAUCGGGGCAGGGUGAGUCGACCCCUAAGGCGAGGCCGAAAGGCGUAGUCGAUGGGAAACAGGUUAAUAUUCCUGUACUUGGUGUUACUGCGAAGGGGGGACGG